AUUGAACGCUGGCGGCAGGCCUAACACAUGCAAGUCGAACGAGUGGCGGACGGGUGAGUAAUGUCUGGGAAACUGCCUGAUGGAGGGGGAUAACUACUGGAAACGGUAGCUAAUACCGCAUACCAUCGGAUGUGCCCAGAUGGGAUUAGCUAGUAGGUGGGGUAAAGGCUCACCUAGGCGACGAUCCCUAGCUGGUCUGAGAGGAUGACCAGCCACACUGGAACUGAGACACGGUCCAAACUCCCAGGUGAGGGAGCAGUGGGGAAUAUUGCACAAUGGGCGCAAGUCUGAUGCAGCCAUGCCGCGUGUAUGAAGAAGGCCUUCGGGUUGUAAAGUACUUUCAGCGGGGCGGCGUUACCCGCAGAAGAAGCACCGGCUAACUCCGUGCCAGCAGCCGCGGUAAUUC
rnacentral:rRNA from 1 species